UACGAAGGGUGCAAGCGUUACUCGGAAUUACUGGGCGUAAAGCGUGCGUAGGUGGUGAGUUAAGUCUGUCGUGAAAGCCCCGGGCUCAACCCGGGAAGUGCACCCGAAACUGCAAGGCUCGAGUACCGGAGAGGUUGGUGGAAUUCUCGGUGUAGAGGUGAAAUUCGUAGAUAUCGAGAGGAACACCGGUGGCGAAGGCGGCCAACUGGACGAGUACUGACGCUGAGACACGAAAGCGUGGGGAGCAAACAGG
rnacentral:rRNA from 1 species